GACAGAGGGGGCAAGCGUUGCUCGGAAUUACUGGGCGUAAAGGGCGCGUAGGCGGGAUGGCAAGUCGGUCGUGAAAUCCUUCGGCUCAACCGAAGAACGUCGAUCGAUACUGCUGUUCUUGAGGGUUGCAGAGGAGACUGGAAUUCCCGGUGUAGCGGUGAAAUGUGUAGAGAUCGGGAGGAACACCGGUGGCGAAGGCGGGUCUCUGGGCCGAUAUUGACGCUGAGGAGCGAAAGCGUGGGGAGCGAACAGG
rnacentral:rRNA from 1 species